CUUAAACCCAGUGGAAGUAACUCCAGACGAAAGCUGAGCGUGUACUCACUUGCUGUGACAUUCACAGAGAGACGAAGGGAAAAUAUCUACAGGGAAAAGGAAAAGAUCAGAAUCAAAAGACUUAAAUAGAAGGAAGGAAAGAAAAUGGUACAGAAACAUGACAUAAGAAGGGAAUGACAUUGGAGAUGCAGAUGGAAAGGCAAGUGUCUUAACACAGAACAUUUUAAAAAUACCCUUCUGUUAUUGUUUCGAUGAUCGUUUCCCAUUUCUUCACAAAGUAGAGGAUUCAGUGAAGCAGAACCGAGGAACAUUUCUUCUGUUUCUUGCCUCUCAAGUUUCGACUUCUACUAGCAAUAAGCAAGGAUAUUAUUUUAUCUUCCAUGUAGCUGACUAUUUCUGGGAAAGAGGCAAGGUGAAAUAAUAAUUAAUUUUUGAACAGUUGACGUGGACAAGAGAUCUCUCACUCAUUGUCAAAGCAUCCACUACCAUAUGUGGUCUGUAGAGCAGCCAGACAUUUGUGGUCCAGCAGCUGCCAAGGAUUUCUGAUGGAUUAGUCUUAGUAGUCUCUUCAUUGGGAAUUGGAAAGGUCCAUGGAGCUUCCACUGUGGCUAUAGGAAUUCCCUUCCUGCAUCAAAGGAUCCAAAAGGGCAUAACUGAAAGCAAUUGUUUCAUCUAGAUUGCUCUGCUGCCAGCUCCUGGAGGCAGCUAGUAGGGAGAGAAGAGCUACUGUUGUGCUGAGGGAUUUUAAAACAAUUCACCAAAGGACUUGAGAAUCACUCUCUGUGAAAAUAUAAGAAUGGAAAGCAAAGAUAAGUGAGAAAGAAGAGGACAAAACACGAACAA